rnacentral:rRNA from 1 species
GGGCCCGCACAAGCGGUGGAGCAUGUGGUUCAAUUCGACGCAACGCGAAGAACCUUACCCAGGCUUGAACUGCAGAUGACAUCCUACGAAAGUAGGCUUCCGCAAGGACAUCUGUAGAGGUGCUGCAUGGCUGUCGUCAGCUCGUGUCGUGAGAUGUUGGGUUAAGUCCCGCAACGAGCGCAACCCUUGUCUUCUGUUGCCAUCGGGUUAUGCCGGGCACUCUGAAGAGACUGCCGGUGACAAACCGGAGGAAGGUGGGGAUGACGUCAAGUCAGCAUGGCCUUUAUGUCUGGGGCCACACACGUGCUACAAUGGCCGGUACAAACCGUCGCGAUCUCGCGAGAGGGAGCUAAUCGGAGAAAGCCGGUCUCAGUUCGGAUUGUAGGCUGCAACUCGCCUGCAUGAAGUUGGAAUCGCUAGUAAUCGCGGAUCAGCACGCCGCGGUGAAUACGUUCCCGGGCCUU